rnacentral:rRNA from 1 species
GACGAACGCUGGCGGCGUGCUUAACACAUGCAAGUCGAACGGAGCGAAUGAAAGCUUGCUUUUAUGAGCUUAGUGGCAAACGGGUGAGUAACACGUAGACAACCUGCCGACAGGAUGGGGACAACAUUCCGAAAGGAAUGCUAAUACCGAAUGAAGUGUAGGGGAGGCAUCUCCUCUACAUGAAAGAUGGCCUCUAUUUAUAAGCUAUCACCUGUCGAUGGGUCUGCGUCUGAUUAGCUAGUUGGUGAGGUAACGGCUCACCAAGGCGACGAUCAGUAGCCGGUCUGAGAGGAUGAACGGCCACAUUGGGACUGAGACACGGCCCAGACUCCUACGGGAGGCAGCAGUGGGGAAUCUUCCGCAAUGGGCGCAAGCCUGACGGAGCAACGCCGCGUGAGUGAAGAAGGUCUUCGGAUCGUAAAGCUCUGUUGACGGGGACGAACGUGCGAGAGGUGAAUAAACUCUUGCAAGGACG